rnacentral:lncRNA from 1 species
UGAGAAUUAAAAGAUGAAAAGAAUGAAUAUUAGGUUCUUAAUCCUUUGGAAGUUGAGAGGAAUUCCUGUUUGAAUGUUUGCCAAAGGUCUUUAACGAAAAUCGGACGUUUUGUUUAUAUAGUAGGCUGAAUUUGGUAAUAUGGAGCGUUAAAAAUUCGCGAGGCAUUAAAAUUACCAAAGGCCAGAUAACACCGUCGCUCGAGCGAGGUGCUGGCGAAACUCGAGCGACGCACCUUCGCUCGAGCGACAGCUCAGCG